GAGUUUGAUCGUGGCUCAGGAUGAACGCUAGCGGCAGGCCUAAUACAUGCAAGUCGAGGGGCAGCACGGUAGCAAUACUGGUGGCGACCGGCGCACGGGUGCGUAACACGUAUACAAUCUGCCUUUAACAGGGGGAUAGCCCGGAGAAAUCCGGAUUAAUACCCCAUAACACCAUAGUUAGCAUUAACAGUGGUUGAAAGCUGAGGCGGUUAAAGAUGAGUAUGCGUCUGAUUAGCUAGUUGGUGAGGUAACGGCUCACCAAGGCGACGAUCAGUAGGGGAUCUGAGAGGAUUAACCCCCCACACGGAUACUGAGACACGGAUCCGACUCCUACGGGAGGCAGCAGUAAGGAAUAUUGGACAAUGCCCGCAAGGGUGAUCCAGCCAUGCCGCGUGCAGGAAGACGGCCCUAUGGGUUGUAAACUGCUUUUACACCGGAGAAACCCCGCUACGAGUAGCGGGCUGAUAGUAUGGUGAGAAUAAGCAUCGGCUAACUUCGUGCCAGCCGCCGCA
rnacentral:rRNA from 1 species